rnacentral:rRNA from 1 species
GACGAACGCUGGCGGCGUGCUUAACACAUGCAAGUCGAACGGAAAGGCCCUGCUUUUGUGGGGUGCUCGAGUGGCGAACGGGUGAGUAACACGUGAGUAACCUGCCCUUGACUUUGGGAUAACUUCAGGAAACUGGGGCUAAUACCGGAUAGGAGCUCCUGCUGCAUGGUGGGGGUUGGAAAGUUUCGGCGGUUGGGGAUGGACUCGCGGCUUAUCAGCUUGUUGGUGGGGUAGUGGCUUACCAAGGCUUUGACGGGUAGCCGGCCUGAGAGGGUGACCGGCGACAUUGGGACUGAGAUACGGCCCAGACUCCUACGGGAGGCAGCAGUGGGGAAUAUUGAACAAUGGGUGGCAGCCUGAUGCAGCAACGCCGUGUGCGGGAUGACGGCCUUCGGGUUGUAAACCGAUUUCGCUCAUGACGAAGCUUUGUGUGACGGUAGUGGGUAAAGAAGCACCGGCUAACUACGUG